UACGGAGGGUGCGAGCGUUGUCCGGAAUCAUUGGGCGUAAAGCGCGCGUAGGCGGCCCGAUAAGUCCGCUGUGAAAGUCAACGGCUCAACUGUUGGAUGCCGGUGGAUACUGUCGGGCUAGAGUACGGAAGAGGCAAGUGGAAUUCCUGGUGUAGCGGUGGAAUGCGCAGAUAUCAGGAGGAACACCUAUAGCGAAGGCAGCUUGCUGGGACGUUACUGACGCUAAGGCGCGAAAGCGUGGGGAGCGAACAGG
rnacentral:rRNA from 1 species